CGGUAAUUCCAGCUCCAAUAGCGUAUACUAAUGUUGUUGCAGUUAAAAAGCUCGUAGUCGGAUUUCAGUGUUCGCUUAGCUUUCACUUAGUGUCAGUCUUCGCUACACUUCUUUGACGAUAACCUGCAUCGCCUUGAUUGGUGGUGUUUGGACUAUUGUCUCUUUUACUUUGAGAAAAUUAGAGUGUUCAAAGCAGGUUUUCACGCCUGAAUAUUACUCUUGGAAUAAUAACAUAUGACUUUGGUUUUUAUUUGUUGGUGAUUUGAGACCGAAGUAAUGAUUGCCAGGGACGGUUGGGGCCAUUCGUACUGCAAAGCGAGAGGUGAAAUUCUUGGACCUUUGCAUGACGAACUACUGCGAAAGCAUUUGGCUAGGACGUUCCCGUUGAUCAAGAACGAAAGUUGGGGGAUCGAAGACGAUCAGAUACCGUCGUAGUCUCAACCAUAAACUAUGCCAGCUAGGGAUUGGUGGAUGUUUCUCUAACGACUCCAUCAGCACCUUAUGAGAAAUCAAAGCAUUUGGGUUCCGGGGGGAGUAUGGUCGCAAGGCUGAAACUUAAAGGAAUUGACGGGAGGGCACCACCAGGAGUGGAGCCUGUGGCUUAAUUUGAUUCAACACGGGAAAACUUACCAGGUCCGGACAUGGGAAGGAUUGACAGAUUGAAAGCUCUUUCUUGAUUCUAUGGGGUGGUGGUGCAUGUCCGUUCUUAGUUGGUGGAGUGAUUGGUCAGGUUAAUUCCGUUAACGAACGAGACCUCAGCCUAUUAAAUAGUUGCUGUCUUUUCAAAGGCAUUGCAUACUUAUUAGAGGGAUUACUUCCCAACCAAGCAAGCGGAAGCUCGAGGCAAUAUCAGGUCUGUGAUGCCAUUAGAUGUUCUGGGCCGCACACGGGCUACACUGGUGUUCUCACCAAGCCUUACUACCUUAACCGAAAGGUUCGGGUAAUCUUUGAAAUAACACCGUGCUUGGGAUAGACUAUUGCAAUUUUUAGUCUUCAGCGAGGAAUUCAUAGUAAACUCAAGUCAUCACCUUGCAUUGAUUACGUCCCUGCCCUCUGUACACACCUCCCGUCGCUCCUAUCGAUGGGAUGAUUCGGUAAGCUCUUGGGAUUGAUUGCUUCCCAAGCACUGCUUCGGGUUAAGACUAACCUGAUCAAACCUAAUCAUCUAGAGGAAGGAGAAGUCAUAGGCAAGGUAUACCGU
rnacentral:rRNA from 1 species